AUUGAACGCUGGCGGCAGGCCUAACACAUGCAAGUCGAACGGUAACAGGAAGAAGCUUGCUUCUUUGCUGACGAGUGGCGGACGGGUGAGUAAUGUCUGGGAAACUGCCUGAUGGAGGGGGAUAACUACUGGAAACGGUAGCUAAUACCGCAUAACGUCGCAAGACCAAAGAGGGGGACCUUCAGGCCUCUUGCCAUCGGAUGUGCCCAGAUGGGAUUAGCUUGUUGGUGGGGUAACGGCUCACCAAGGCGACGAUCCCUAGCUGGUCCGAGAGGAUGACCAGCCACACUGGAACUGAGACACGGUCCAGACUCCUACGGGAGGCAGCAGUGGGGAAUAUUGCACAAUGGGCGCAAGCCUGAUGCAGCCAUGCCGCGUGUAUGAAGAAGGCCUUCGGGUUGUAAAGUACUUUCAGCGGGGAGGAAGGGAGUAAAGUUAAUACCUUUGCUCAUUGACGUUACCCGCAGAAGAAGCACCGGCUAACUCGGUGCCAGCCGCCGCGGUAA
rnacentral:rRNA from 1 species